GCCAGGUGUGGUGGUGCACCUCUGUAAUCCCAGGAACUCAGGAGGCUGAGGUAGGAGGAUCACAAAUUCAAGACCAGCCUCAGCAACUUAACAAGACCUUCAGAAAUUCAGUGAGACCCUGUUUCAA
rnacentral:sRNA from 1 species